rnacentral:rRNA from 1 species
GACGUAGGGCGCGAGCGUUGUCCGGAUUUAUUGGGCGUAAAGAGCUCGUAGGCGGCUCGUUGCGUCGGCUGUGAAAACCCGCAGCUCAACUGUGGGCUUGCAGCUGAUACGGGCGGGCUGGAGUUCGGUAGGGGAGAUUGGAAUUCCUGGUGUAGCGGUGGAAUGCGCAGAUAUCAGGAGGAACACCAAUGGCGAAGGCAGAUCUCUGGGCCGUAACUGACGCUGAGGAGCGAAAGCAUGGGGAGCGAACAGG